UGACGAGUGGCACCAGUGGAUCCACCGCGACGGCGUCCACCCAAACCGGAUCGGCAACAAGGUCCUCGCUGGGUUCAUGGGCCAGCAAGUAUGGAGCAUCCUGGAGAAGAUGGCCAGGGCCAAGAUCCAGCAGGACCACAAGGAGGCAAUGCCAGGGACCCGCUCGUGGGAUGGCUGGACCAUCAAGGGUGCCCUAUUGACCGCGCCAUGUUGUCUCUUCAGAAUUCUCCGACUUUUCCAGCAAAGUUUUGUUAAUCUGACGACAUAGUCUUUCUAAGAGGCUGGGGAAAUUAUAGCAAAAAGUUUGUGGGCCUCACAUCUGGUAACAAGAAGGCUCCAAAAACAAGGCCCCUUGAAAACUGAGCAAGUUGCUACUUGUGUAAAUUGGCUCUGAAGAAACCAACAACUAGGCGCUGCACAGUCCGAUGAUUCUUUCCGAGUCUGAAGUGCUUCGAGGGAAUCGGAAUUUUGUGUUAUAAUGUGAAUAAACUGUUCUGCAUUGCAAA